UACCUGGAUUCUGUGUUUUGCUUUCAAACUAAGGUUCUUCUAGCCCAAUUAUUUUCUGAUGUCUUUCUUCUUCUUCUCCUCGGGAUUUAUAGCUAAGUGCAGCCAAUCAAAUAUUAACCCAUUAUACUAGGGCAAAAUUCCACUUUGGGAUCAUGCGGCUCUUCUGGCAGUUACCCUAUCUUAGAGUUGGAUGGAGAUCUUAAAUUAGGUUCUAACUACUCUAGUCUCAAAAUUCCCAUGGGUGAUGUUUUCAUAGCUUCGCUUUCCCACUGUAGCUUAAACAUACCAGAAUGUUCUUGAUGGCCAAAUUGGUAGUAUUACAACUAACUGCCAGGGUUACAAAGCUCACAGAAGGAUCUCAGUUUGGGAAUACUAAUUUUUUUUAACCUCAGUAUACUGCUAUGUCCUUUUGAAAGUACUUUGAAUUAUACCAUCUUCUUCAAAGCAAGUCCGUGAAGCUUUGGGGGCAGAUACAUUCCAGCUCCACCACUUACUGGCAAUGCAACAUUUUUGAGUUGUUCUUUCCAUAGAACAGGACAGAUACUACUUUGGAGAGUUGGUUUAAUGAGACAAUGUAUGAGGAGUGCUCAGUCUCUAGUAAAAGGUAGAUCCCUACUAAAAGGCUCAACGAAUAUUAGUCCCUUCAUCUUCUCCUCCCGUAUAUCUGGUCUCCCAUUAUACACAUUUCGACUUUUAUACUGUAAGGUAAAGAGACGGCUUAGGGCUUAGGAAACAAACUCAAAAAGACAUUUCCCUCUAACUGCUCUUUAGCAUAAUCUUUCCUGUAACAUCUUUAAGCAAGUCAACACACAUUAUUACCAAUCAUGUUUUCAAUGUUCUCCUAAGGAGGCUAAAAUCAGGAAUGAGGUGAAGUAUGGUUGGUGAAUUGCUUAGCAGAUCAUGGUAUAAGGACAAGAUCCAUUGUAGCCCUUAAGUUGUCAUAAAACGCCACAAAACCAUUCAUGACUCCUGCUACGAACAACAAUCCUGGCCAAAUUUUAAUUCUUGCACAAACUGCAGAAAAUAGCCAACGCUUUGCCAUUGAUCUUUGGGAUCUUAAUAAUACUGAAUUAGAUAGUUCUAUCGGCUGGAGUCUCAGUGCCCUUGUUUGAAAUUUAUUAAGAUUAGACGGCAGAUGUUCCAAAGAUACAACAAUUUUCUGAAAUGUGUAACCAAUGGAAAUUUUCUUUCUUUUAGGGUUGGGUUGAUAAUCUAAAUGGAUGUAGCCGACUCAUUAUUGCGGUAUGUGUAGGGAUGAAGAAGUAACUGUAAUGUAGUGGAGGAAUAGUAACAAAAUUCUUAGUGCUGGCUUAGCUUCAUUGAUCCAAAAACAUAAAUGCUACUUUACUAUCAAUUGAAGCAUAUUAUUUCAAUUAUUCUGGUUAUAAUAUGGAGGCAGGAUGAAAUUAUUUUUAUUCUUUUAGAAUUUUUUUAUCAGGAAAAGAGAGGUAAAGUGCUAUCAAUUACUAUUUAAGAGUUCUAUUUUGAAAAGUGAGAAUUAAGGAUUUUUCUUUUCUUUUUAAAAAAACGUUUUUAAAAAUUAAAAAUAAAACAAGCAAAAGUCUUAUGAAAAUGAAGCAAGUAGCCCUGCCACUCUAUGUACAGUAAUAACAAUAUUUGUCACAGUUAUUAUGUACAAUAUUAUAAAAAAUGUCACAUACAGUGCAAAUUAAGGCCCUUAUUUCUCAAAGGACAUCAAGUCUUAUGCCCCGUGGGAGGGAAGAUGCCACUUAAUUAUUGCGCCAUUUUGAAAAACAGAACUCGUCAAGGCAGGUAGUGGUCUUUUCCCACCUGGUCUUCAGUCACAGAUGGGGGCUGGGGCGGUGGCGUCGUCUUCGUCGUCGAGGUAGACCCUAUGUAGCCACAUCGCCCUGCCCGGUUCUCUGGGUGCAAUAAAUACCAGUCACAGUUUGGGAGGGGGCCCUGUGCAGGUGGGCGGAGGCCUCUGGGCUGCAUGUGCUGCUUCCUGUGCAGGGCAAGGUGGGCAGAGCGCAAGAAGGCGCGGUGGCACCAAUGGCCCUGAAAUGGCCAGUGGCCCCUGUGCUUGUGGUGGUGGAGCGUUAGCUUGUCUGAGUGAGCACGCUUCCAGCUGCUUCCUUCCUAGUGGCAGUGGUCGGGCUUGUCACUUGUGUGCUGCGCAGAUGUGCCUGCAGGUGAGAAUUCUUGUGGUAGGUCUUGCGGUUGCGGCAUCGGUAUGCCUGGUGUUGCAGUUCCCAGGCCAGGAGCAGCUGCCACGCUUGGGCUUGGCCUCCAGCAGCUCCAGCGGGGACGCCGGUGCCACCACAAGGAGACCGCGGGCGACUGGGGGUGCCAGGCCCAGGGCUGUGGCGGUGGCGGCCACCGCCUAAGAGACUAAAGACAGGGGCGUGGAGGGGUGGAGCUGGGUGGGGGGCGCCUCAUGAAGGCCGGGCUGGGUGUCCCAAGCCAGGGCCACGGAAGGGCAGCGGGAAGGAGGCGUGCGGGCCUUAGGGGUUGAGGGGCGGGUGUUGGGGGUGGCGUGGGAGGGACCCAGGACCUCGCAUGCAUGAAGCCGCAGGCCUGGGGCGCCCUAGUGUUUGAGGACGCGCGGUCCAUGUCUGAACCUGGGUACGCAGCCGUAGCCACCGCCAUCCGCUUCAGGGGGCUGGGCAGCGCCAAUUGAAAGCGGUUGAGCAGGCCGGGCGCGGUGGCUCACGCCUGUAAUCCCAGCACUUUGGGAGACCAAGGCGGGCCGAUCACGGGGUCAGGAGGUCGAGACCAUCCUGGCUAACACGGUGAAACCCCGUCUCUACUAAACAUACAAAAAAAAAAAAAAGUAGCCGGGCGUGGUGGCGGGCGCCUGUAGUCCCAGCACUUUGGAAGGCUGAGGCGGGCGGAUCACGAGGCCAGGAGAUGGAGAACAUCCUGGCUAACAGGUGAAACCCCGUCUCUACUAAAAGUACAAAAAAACAAUUAGCCGGGUGCGGUGGCGGGCUCCUGUAGUCCCAGCUACUCCGGAGGCUGAGGCAGGAGAAUGGCGUGAACCCAGGAGAUGGAGCUUGCACUGAGCCGAGAUCAAGCGGAGAUCGCGCCACUGCACUCUAGCCUGGGCGACACAAGGAGACUCCAUCUCAAAACAACAACAACAACAACAACAACAAAAACCAGCUGAGCAGCGCGGGCCGUCUGGCAGCGGGUCCAGCUCCAGAGCGCCGUAGGGCAGCGGCGUGCAGUGUUCGGGUAAUAGGACGCAGACGGCGGGGUCGCCGGGGUCUUCGACGUGGCCUCGGCCCCAGGCCAUCCAGCCCUGUGGACCGAAUGGAGUCCCGCACGCGUUGAGGUAGUUGUGGGUUCCCCUGGCCUCCGGCUGGGCGCGGGGUCAGCGCGCCUGCAGGCGGCGCUUGCGGUACGGGCUGGUGAAAGUGGAGACGGACGGCAGGAUGGAUUCACUUGGCGACAUGGCGGGAAGCUGGGAACACGGACACCGGUGAGUGGCUGCCCGGGAGGGCUGGUCGGGGCUCGGACAGGCGGGCAUGGUUCUGCCAAGGAUUUUGCUUUAUUUAUCGCAAGAUGGGGGUAUUUCCUCCUUUCUGCAGUUUAUAAUUGCAUGAAUUAGUGCAGUGAAUUGAGGAUGCAGUAAAAAUAUCUUCAAAGAUUAUUAAAUUCGUUAUUAUAAAACACAUAGAAGAGUUUAUGUGUGUGUAUGGAAAGCAGGUAUACAUCAAUAAUUCUUAAUGAAUACAGGAAAGAACUACCAAUAUUGGAGCAAAUUUUUCAAAUACAAACAUCAGUAAAUAUAAGCAAGGCCUUUUCUUUUUUAUUAUUCUAUUAUAAGUUCUAGGGUACAUGUGCGCAACUUGCAGGUUUGUUACAUAGGUAGACAUGUGCCGGCAACGCCUUUUCAAUAAUGUCUUACAAGGAGAAACGUGGCUCCUCUAGGUAAGCAGACCUCAGUGCGCAUCUCCCUGAAGUCCAGAUUGAUCCGGCAGAGCUGUGGGGUUCACAGCUGACACUGAGGCAUUCAGGGCCUAAACCCCACUUUACUCUUUUGUACAAUGAAUAGGACAUCAGUGAUCUAAAAGAGUUUAAAUCUUAUUAGGGAUUCAGACUGCCCUUCAGACUCUGUCUCUAUUCCUCCCAGAGCUGGGUUCAACAUGAAUUCAAAUACAAAUAUGAGACAAUGAAUUAUGGUAGUGACAAAGACCUUCCUUCGAAUUUCGGAUUUUUCUAGCAGCCCCUUUCUUUCUGCUUCCCACCUGCCUUCAACUCUUUCUCCUAAAAAAGUUCAGUUGGGGUGAACGUUUGGUGACUUAGAACAUCAUUAUUUUAACGUGAUCCCAAAGCGGUUUUCAUUAUAUGCAAAGCUGUAUAUUUAUUUACAUUUUAAAAAAUGUUCUAAAUUGGUUUCUUAUGUCCAAAAGAAGGGGAGCUACUUAUAAGAAAAGAGAAUUGAGUAACAUAAGAAAGUGCUAAUCAUUUCAAAUUAAAGUGGGAAACAUGCAAAGCAGAAAGAAUCAAUUUCAUAAACUCAACAAAUUAUUAACAUAAAUAAUUCCAAACUCUUGUAUCUAUAUAACAUCAGUGAUCUGUGAGGUGAAAUGAGAUUCUGAAGAAAAAGUAAAUAAUAAGGCCAUUUUUCUUAGCCAAAAAGUUUUUGUCAUUAAUUGUGGAAUUUCACCAAUCAAUUUUUUUCAAAUAAAAGUUUCUUAAACUUUUAGUGCCUACUAUUGCUUGUAGGUUAAUAAGCCCUAGCAGAAAACAAAAUCAUUAAUGAAAUGGAAAACAAACAUUAAUGGGAAAUUUGUGUAACCUUAAUUCUUAACGUGUCUUAUGAAUUAAUUUUUAAAAUGUGAAGGUUUAUUCUUGGUGUUUGGUAAUUAAGUUUAUCAAUCUCUCACAAAUAUGAGGAAUUUGAUUCCCUAAAGGAACGUGAGGACCAUGAGUAGUUCAAGAAAAUGCUGAAGAUGCGCUUGGCUGGGAAGCUAGGAUAGGCUGACGAAGUCAGACUUAGUGUGGGAACCUGGCUGGGAAAGGGUUUCUUCUGGCCAUAAAAGCUACUCCAAUGGCUGUGGGAGACUUAAUUCCAAUUCCAGGUGAUACAGCCGUCAAUCUCCCACUAGCUGUAGGAUGGUGUGCUGCAGUUCACAGGGCAAAGGAGAUAGAAGUGGAUGAAAUGAGAGAGUAUUUUUUUAAUUGAACUCUGAUUAAUGCCAAAAGUGUUCAAUCACUAUGUGUGGGGAAGUUUCCUGGUACAAAGAAAAAAAAAAAACAGGUUGUUCAUACACUUGGCUGUGUUAGUAAGUGGUAAACAGAAUUAAACUUUUCUUAUGUGAACUCACACAUGUGUGCUUCAUAAUAUGUCACUCCUAUUUAACAUCUCUUUCACACAAACAGGCAUCCCCUGCCACGCACACCCUUUUGCUAGUCUUCUUCCAUUUUGCUUAUUAACCCAAAGAAAGAAAAAAGUACAGAAGCCUUCUUGCAUAGGUUGCCUUAAUCAGAUGAAUUAUUGAAACCACUCUGUCUAAAUAUUAUUUUCCCUUAUUUUUCUUUCAUUAGUUUUCCAUUCUGUUGUAUUUAUUUAAUUUUUAUUUCAUUUUCCAGACCUAAGUCAAUGUUAGUCUACCACUGUACAUCUGGUAACCUCAAUCCCUGCAACCGAGGCAAAAUGGGAUUCCAGGUCUUGGCAACCUUUGAAAUUCCAAUUCCAUUUGCAAGAGCUUUGAGGAGGCCAUAUGCUGAUUUCACCACCAGCAACUUCACAACCCAGUACUGGAAUGCCAUCAGCCAGCAGGCCCCUGCCAUCAUCUGUGACUUCUAUCUGUGGCUCACUGGAAGGAAACCCAGCUACCGAAGGAAGAUACCCUCAUCAACCCAAUUUUACAAAUGGAGAAAUAGAAGCUAAGGGAAGAAUCUGAAGUAAUCGCAAAGGCAGUGACAGAAAGGAUGUGGAGAAAGCUGACUGUCACAGUCAGUAUUCAGGACCGGAUUUACUGCUACUUAGAGAUGAAUGAAGAAAUCCGAGUGAACGCAGUGUGCUGAUGCUAAAGCAGCUGUCGCCACCCAGCUGUGUGACAUAGGACAUUCUUUCUCUGUCUCACUUGAAUAAUAUGAUGUGUCAGAGGAGAUAUGAUUGUAAUUGCCUAAAUCAAUUUUUGUGAUCAAGAAUCAGGAGCAUGAACAGUAUUGCUCUCUGUGUUAGCCCCUUUAUAAGGGAGGAAGUCGUCUUCAGCAUGUUGAAUUGUCAUCUUUCUUAGCAGUGCAAAUGACUAAAACUUAGCCAAUGUAGAGUUUAUCCAAACUUGGAGCAAAGUGAAAAGAAAACAUUGUGAUUACGGGGAAAAUAUUUGUAUGGGACUAUUAAAUAAAGACACAAAAAGAAGAAAACCCAAAUAUUAUAGGCAGAAAUGCUAAAGGUUAUAAAAUAUAUCAGGAUUGUAAGAAGGCAUGGAUAAAGAACAAAGUUCAGUUAGGAAAGAGAAACACAGAAGGAAGAGACACAAUAAAAGUCAUUAUGUAUUCUGUGAGAAGUCAGUAAGAUUUGUGGGGAACGGGUUGGUUUGUUGUAUGGUAUGUAUUUCAGCAAUAAUCUUUAUGGCAGAGAAAGCUAAAAUCCCUUAGCUUGUGUGAAUGAUCACUUGCAGAAUUCCUCAAGGUAGGCAUGAUGAAGGAGGGUUUAGAGGAGACACAGACACAAUGAACUGAACUAGAUAGAAAGCCUUAGUGUACUCAGCUAGGAAUAGUGAUUCUGAGGACACACUGUGACCUGAUUAUGUCAUUACAUGUAUGGUAGUGAUGGGGAUGAUGGAAGCUUUGUCCAGGCCUGUGUGUGAACCCAAUGUUUUUUUAGAAAUAGAACAAGUAAGUGCAUUGCUAUAGCAUAACACAAAAUUUGUUUAAGUGGUGGUCAGCAAAUCCUUGAAUGCUGCUUAAUGUGACGAGGUUGGUAAAGUCGUUUGUGCAACACUCUUACUCCCUGAAUGUUUUGCUGUGCUGGGGCCUGUGCAUGCCAGACAAGGCCAAGCUGGCUGAAAGAGCAACCAGCCACCUCUGCAACCUGCCACCUCCUGCUGGCAGGAUUUGUUUUUGCAUCCUGUGAAGAGCCAAGGAGGCACCAAGGCAUAAGUCUACUCACUUAUAUCUGUUUGUCUGGAACAUAACCCAUGUUUGUUUUUACCACAAAUAAAAUUGAUCUUGAAUAAAAA